AACCAAAGAUAGUGGCAUUUACAUAACAGAAGUUUCAAGGCAUUUCAGCAAGACCCAGCAUUAGCAAGGCUAUGUUUAAGCAACACUAUAAUGUACAUCCUACUUCCUGAGAGAAAGAAAUCAGAGUGGGUCCUAGUAGUAACCUACCUUCACAGGUCAGCUAGGAGGACUGAUGAUGCUCAUCACUGGAGCAUCUUCUCUGUUCUAUCACAGAUUGGUAGCCCUGGGACCAUGGCAUUAAAAAGCACCACACUUUGCUCUAAGCACCCAUAGGCACCAUGAAAUUCACCGGAAGGUUCACAUGGCACAGAUUCCCACCUAACUCUCCCAACUGAAAAUUGCUCUCAGGAUUAUUUAUAUUCUUUUUCAUCAUUCCUUGAGAUAUUUGGAAAUCCAGUCUAUAGAAAAAUUACUCAAGAACUGUCACUCAAAAUCAAGCUCAGCCUGCCAUUUGACUCUUAAGACAAUACCAGGCAAGCAUGAACUUCCUUAGAGAGAUAAUUAUGCACAUACUUGCAGGAAUAAGUAUGAAUAAACAGAGAAGAAUACAUAGUUCCUCUAAAUACAUGCUAUAGUUUAUUCAUUCCUUCUUCAAUAAGUACUUAUUGAAGCUUUCUUUGUCUCAGGCAUUUGUCAAGAUGUUGGGGAUACAGCAGUAACCAAUACAGGCCUUCUCCCUGCCCCUUGGAUCUUAUAGUGGGAAAGUACAAUUACAAUCUUAAUUACAGAACAGCAUGUUAAUUGUACAGUAAGGGGAGAAGCCCCUUACUUCUUAUGACUUGGAGAUGAGGAAAGCUGCAAUUUGAAUCAGUUAUUAAGAGUUAGCUGGAAAAUGGUGGUAAAGGAGCAGAAAACUCUUCCAGGAAGAAACAGCAUGUGUGAAGAACCACAUGCCGUGAGAGAUUUCAUGGAGGAAAAAGGUGUUCUUUGUAGGUGACUCAAAGAAUGGGAGAGGGCAGAUGGCAAGAGAGAUGAUUGGAGAAAUAAGGAGUUGAAAUUAAAGGCCAUAUUGAGGAGUUCAAAUUUAUCCUAAGAGCAGUGGAAAGCCAUUCACAGGUUUAAACACGAUAGUGACGUGAUCCACUUUCAGUGUGCCUGGAGUGUGGAGAGUGGAUUGAAAGAUAAUAAGACAGAAAGUCUCAGUUUGCAGCUCUUGGAACUAAUCCAGAUGAGAGAUGAGGAUGCUCUUCCUUGGUUGUGGCAGUAGAAACAGAGGAGCAGGUGGAUUCGAGUGGUGUGUUGGAGAUAGAAUAUGUAGGCCUGGGUAAUUGAUUGGCUGGGUGGGAGAGAAGAGAGAUGUAGAGGGAGCAGUCAGAGGUGACACCCAGGCUUGGGCAGUUGUCAGGGUGAUAGGCGUCAUAUGAGAGGAGAAGGCUCAGGACACAGAGGCUGUGAUGGGAACGGGAUUAUGGAAAACACGGUGUUUACUUUUGGGUGUGCCUAUGGAUAACUGGGUAGAGAAGCCCCAUAAGCAGACCAAGAACUUCAGGAGAGAGAUCAAGACUAGAGAGUUGGGAAUCUUCCACCUUUGGCAGGUCAUU
rnacentral:lncRNA from 10 species